GACGAACGCUGGCGGCGUGCUUAACACAUGCAAGUCGAACGGAAAGGCCCUGCUUUUGUGGGGUGCUCGAGUGGCGAACGGGUGAGUAACACGUGAGUAACCUGCCCUUGACUUUGGGAUAACUUCAGGAAACUGGGGCUAAUACCGGAUAGGAUCUCCUGCUGCAUGGUGGGGGUUGGAAAGUUUCGGCGGUUGGGGCUGGACUCGCGGCUUAUCAGCUUGUUGGUGGGGUAGUGGCUUACCAAGGCUUUGACGGGUAGCCGGCCUGAGAGGGUGACCGGCCACAUUGGGACUGAGAUACGGCCCAGACUCCUACGGGAGGCAGCAGGGGGGAAUAUUGCACAAUGGGCGGAAGCCUGAUGCAGCAACGCCGCGUGCGGGAUGACGGCCUUCGGGUUGUAAACCGCUUUCGCCUGUGACGAAGCGUGAGUGACGGUAAUGGGUAAAGAAGCACCGGCUAACUACGUG
rnacentral:rRNA from 1 species